AACGAACGCUGGCGGCAUGCCUAACACAUGCAAGUCGAACGAUCCCUUCGGGGAUAGUGGCGCACGGGUGCGUAACGCGUGGGAACCUGCCCUUAGGUUCGGAAUAACUCAGAGAAAUUUGAGCUAAUACCGGAUAAUGUCUUCGGACCAAAGAUUUAUCGCCUUUGGAUGGGCCCGCGUUGGAUUAGCUAGUUGGUGGGGUAAAGGCCUACCAAGGCGACGAUCCAUAGCUGGUCUGAGAGGAUGAUCAGCCACACUGGGACUGAGACACGGCCCAGACUCCUACGGGAGGCAGCAGUGGGGAAUAUUGGACAAUGGGCGAAAGCCUGAUCCAGCAAUGCCGCGUGAGUGAUGAAGGCCUUAGGGUUGUAAAGCUCUUUUACCCGGGAUGAUAAUGACAGUACCGGGAGAAUAAACCCCGGCUAACUCCGU
rnacentral:rRNA from 1 species